AAGAAGACAUAAAAGGACGCAGCACUCACCCCUGCUGCUGCUGUCCUCUUGCUCUUCCUAUGGUUUAUGCUGCGUGCAGGACAUCUCUUCUCUAUACCUUCUCUUUUUCCUUCAAAGCUCCCUUUUCUCCCUGAGCACUUUUGUACUUUCCUUUUUUUAAACAACAGAAAAACAUUUCUGUCCUAAAAUAAUUGGUAACCUUUCACAUCCGUCAAAUUUCUUGACCAAUUCAUAGCAGGGGACAAAUAGCCUGGAAGACACUGCUGGUCUCUAGCCCAUUCGAUAGCAAGCAGACACCCUCUGACUGAGGACUGUGAGCCCUGCACGCACCAAGAUAGUCCCUCGGCAUCACCAAGGCUGUAGGGCUCGGUCUAUGAGAUGGGCUUAAAAGCAGUGUGCAGCCUGGGGUGAAGACCACUUGGGAGGGAGAAGGGGGGGGGAGGAAGAAAAUGGGGGGGGUGGGUAAAUGGGAGGGAAGAAGGGGAGCGCUCACGCUGAGUCCAUGCUUGUCCCGCACUCUGCUCUUCACAGUGGCCCCCUUUGGCCCCCCAGCACCCAUGAAGUUGUCCCCCCAAAGUGUAAUUCAACAGGAGCCCCCUUGGCAAAACUCAGCAGUCCUGUGGCUAAACACUGUAUCCCAUUCGCUCUGUGCUCUCAGCACGCACCCUGCCUUCACCCCUUCCUGGAGUCCUUCCCUCCCUUGGCCUGGGCUUGGGGGCAGGGAGGGGUCAGGAUUAUGUGCCUGGUCUUUCCCAGAAACCAUUUGAUAAUUUUUUUACAGCUGAGAUAUUUUUGAGCAGGUUUUGAUUUUUAUUAGAUCUUUUUGAUAACAAAAAAUAGGUGUUUCUUAUAACAAAUGAAACAAUGUAACUAUAAAUGAAAAACAAUAGUUCUUCCCCCAAUCCUGCCUCACAUGAUUAACAAUGGCCUGGUUAUUCCUUCAGUCAUUCAAAUAUAUAUGUAAUAUCACUACAUAUAUAUAUGUAGUGUGAUCACAAUAUAUGGCAUGUGUUUUGGAUACACAAGCUUAAAUAUCACAUAGUUACUCUUAUAUGAGAAACCCAAAACAUACAGAACAAUAUGAUAGGAGGGAGAUAGAUGUUCUGCAAAUGAGAAGGGGGACCAAGCAAUGUGAGGAGGGAAGAUUAAAAAAAAAAUUAAGAUGUGUUGUGUACGUGUCCCAACUCUACGUGGGGAAUGUGACCAUUAGGUACUGCAAACAUGUAUUAGUAAAAGGUUAAAAAACACUUACAGAAAAAUACCACCCCCCAGCUUUGAACACUUAUCAUUCUUGCCACUUUCUGAAGUGGUUCUGGAAGUCCUCUUUCCCGAGUGACUUUAUCAGGUGUGAUUAAAAAAAAAUAGUGUGGGGCCGGGGAUUUAGCUCAGUGGUUCCAGCUCCUGCUUUGCAAGUACAAGGUCAUGAGUUUGAUCCCCAGUGCCCCCCCAAAAACUCAAUGAAUGCUGGUGCUGAAUGCUAUCCAACAGAAAGAUAGGCUCACAAAAAAUACAUUAUGCUGUGUCCUCACCCAUCUUCUUCACUAGAUCUGGCACUGUGCAGCUUCUGGCUCUUUUCUAAAGUCAAAAUGACCAUGAAAGGAAAACGUUUUGAAAAAGAUUCAGGAUGUGGAAGCAGCCACAACAGCCAACUAAAGACACCCAGGAAAGAGGACUUCAGACCUGCUUCAGAACAGUAGGACAAGUGUGUUUGAAGCAAAGUGACAUAUUGUGAGGGGGAUUAAUAGCAAUAUGUCUUUGCUGUAAUGCUUUUUAAAAUUUGCAUAUUAGCCACAUUUUUUGAUCACACUGCAUGUACUUUUUUGGUACCAGGGAUUGAACUUGGGACCUUUUGAGGCAGGCAACGGCACCACUGAGCUAAGUCCCCAGCCCCACACUGCACAUCUUAAAGCUAACGUUUUCUUUUAAUGUCAUGGAAUUUAGUAUAGAUGCCAAAAUCUCCAGAGUGGCUACCAAAAUGCCAAGCAUAACUGUCACGUUCCCCACGACCAAUCCCAUCUGCAGAUGGAGGGACCAGGCGGUGGUGGAGCUGGGGCCCCAAAGCACACUGGCUGGUCACACUUGUGCCUGCUGCCCUGCCCUCCUCCUAGGGGCAGACUCUGGGGCUGGCCUGAAGAAGGGCUGGAGAAAAUGAUUCUUAUUCUCUGGCAGGUAUAUUUUCCCCAAGCACCUGGAUUUUAAAGGGGCAGAUGCUGCCUUUUUGAAGCAUGAGACAAAGAUCAAGUAGAUGAAUCUCAGGGGUGGUUUCCUGCUUUCCAUUUCCUUUGAAGUUACUGGGAAUAAUGGGGUUAGGAUCUGUGGGUUAGGGUAUGGGGAAGCCCCCCAGGUUGAGGCACUGAGGCCUGGGGUGGAGCCACAGAGAGGGGCCUGGCCCAGCUUUGGGGCCUCUUCACAUUGGACAUUUCCCCCUCAGGCUCCUGCCAAAGCCCUGAUUUUUUGUUUUACUUUCCCCCCUCCUUGCUCUUUAUUUCUGAAAUUUCUAUUUGAAGCUAAGAGAUUUCUUCCAUCUAAACUCAAGACAGCUACAGUAAGCCAGGAUUAACUCUCCCUUCAACCUUUGAGAAAUGGUCUCAGGAUAGGGGCAAGGAUGUUUAGUUUGCCAGGGAGUAAUAAGCAUCUGAGGUUACUCAUCAGUCCCUUAGGUGAAAACCCAGGAGGCUGCCAGAACCAGCCAGCACCUCCUGUCCUGGCCCUCAGGUUGCUCAUGGCUCAAAUGAUAGUGUUUUCUUUGCCCCUCAAGGUCUGACAGGCAUUGCUUGUCUUCUAUUUCCUAGUUGCAAGGUAUUUUUUUUCAAUUUGGAACAUGUGUUCUAAUUUGAAAACGAAUGAGUUUUCUUCAGUAAAACUUGCCACCUUUCAAAGAGGUUUGCUCUAACCCAAGCUUAGACACUAGUGGCCAGAGCCAGAGGUUUGGGUGGAGAUGGGCCUGCUGGCUGUGUGCCCCCACUUUGGACUCCACCAUCUUUGGGCCCACCAUGGCCUGGUUAUGACACACACAUGGCCUUGCCCACCACGGAUCUGGAGCCACUUCUGCCAAAGACUGGAGGAAUAAGAAAAGCCAGUCCAGCCUGUUGGAUCAGUAACACAGAUAAGCAAGAGUAAGAAAGCUGUCCGUUCCUGAGUAAAAACACCAAAGCUCCACAACCCCCUGUACCUUCACAACACUGCAGAGUAAGCCAUGGCCCCCAAUUGUACCCCGAGGAUGCUGCUGCCCUAGGUAGCAACACUGCCAGCAGCCUCUACCCAAGGUAGAAAUGACUGUCAUCUACUCGUUUCAGGAGAGCAACGGGGUCCCCCAAGAAAUUAAGGUCUUUUUCAAAAUAGCAUUCUGGGGUCCCUUUUUGAACCUCUGUAGCUGUCAAUUCUACAUGGCUCUGCGGGGCUGGGAUGAAGCCCGGUGGGAUUAAGGAGACUUGGAGAUGUUUUAGAAUAAGCAGCUUCCGACUAUUAGUAACUUCACACCUACGGCUAAGGCUCAACCCUCCCUGCCCCCUUUCUUAGCCCAAAAGGACAUGAUCAUUCUGUUGUGGGUGUGAAGCAGCAGGUGCACCCAUCUGUGCUUCUACACAGAAUAGGACCACACACCCUCUCCAUCCCCACCAAGCCCCCGAAGGAAGUGUAUGACUCAUGGAUGCCUAUAGAAGUGUUAUCAGCCUGCGCACACAUGUGUGUGCCUGUACAUGUGUAUGUGUGUCUACAAACACAUGUAGAUGCAUAUCCUCUCUUCCUACUGAUUCUGCUCCACAAAUUUUUGCCAAAUCUGAUAACCAUGCUUUUUCAGUUCUGUCCCAUCCAGGUCUUCAGGUACAUGACUUUCAAAAAUCAUAAGAACAAAAGUCAACUUAUUUAACCUCGACAGUUAUAGGCUAGAGAGCCACUGUUUCCAGCUGUCCUUGUUGGCCCAGACCUCUCCAGGGUAUCCCCCUCCCAGAGUUCCCCAGAACCACACCGUCAACCAGCACGCACGGCAGGACAGCCAGCUCCCAGGGUUCCUUCUGGGUUGUGUUAUAAAGUCUGGCAGAGACAUCAACACAUGUCAACAUGUUCCUUUUGGUGACAUGUUUGUCUUUUCCUUGUUAGCUUUGGUUCAAGGCUGUAAAUCCAUAAGAGGAAGCGGUUUCCAAGCCUAAGCAAAAAAGUGAGCAGAUGCACUUCAUGGACUUUGGGGUUUCUCUGUGCAGAUCUUCCCCUCCAUCACUUACCUCCCCAUUAUUUUUCUUAGAAAUCCAAAUAAAAAGGAUAUUUGGUGAUCAAAGUGAAUUCAACAGGCAGGGCAUGAAUGGAUACAAACCACCAAGCUCCCAGUGAGCUAUGUCUAUGGUCAGAUGUUGAUGAGAUCCAUCCUGGUCCCCAUAUUUGUUGCCUCUGAAGGGAUUGGAUCCUUCUCUCUGCUUUUUCAUCUGAGCCUCUGCAGUUCUCUUGUUCUUUGCUCUGUUCUGUCUCUGCUCUGGUUUGAACCCUGCUAUGUCAGCUCUCUUGUCUCCUUUUUAUUAUUCAAACCGUCUUUGAGCUGUUGGCAUUAGUUCUGCAGGGUGCCUGGGAGGGAAUUCUGAAAGCUCCAAAAUGGUCCCCCUCUACCUCCAGUGGAAGAGGAGGACCCAGGAAACCCAGCAAAACAAGUCCGGUUUUAUUGGUUCUUCCUCUGAGUAAAAAACUGCUCAAGUUUUGAACAAAUUCGUAUACAGCAUAAACACUUAUCCAGAGUUAAAUCUAAAUCCAUCCAGGCAGUUUCAUGUUGACAAAAGGUAAGGAUUUACCAUGUUAGGGUAUCCAAAAGAAUUUGCCAUAGACUCUGAAGAAAUUUAAAGCAGAAGACUGCACAUGGCAGGGAAGAGCAUGUGACACAGGUGACCAGGUUCUGACCCACAACUGAUUCUGGGCACCUGUGAACAAGUUACUACAUCACUGUGGCUUCGUAAAGUGGCAGCCCACCCCAUACCUUCCCCUGACUAUUCGAGUCAUAUGACAAAUAGUUCAUACCAUGAACGGAGCUGUGGAUGGUGUAGAGAUGCCCUGGUUCCAAAUGACCAUGAGUCAGAAGAGCCUCAAAGUCUGAAGCACAGGCUGCAGAGCAGACCGAUCAGGCAUCCAUUCCAGCCCCUGACUGUGUGGUGCCCUGGACCUGCACUCCCUCAUUUGGAAGAUGGAAAACACUACCUACCUCAGGACUUGCUGGUCUUAAGAGAAUCCAAAAACAGUGCAGAAGAGGCCUUACCCACCCACCUUUGGCCCUGAUGGUGAGAGACAUGCUCCAAAGAACAGGAAGGAAACCAUCACUUUCACAACUGACUUUGUGUAGCUCCCAGCAAGGACAUCAGAAGAGGUGACCCACAUUGCAAGAAUGAAAUGGAGGAGCCAGCCUGCCAGGGGACGCCACUCACCUGUCACCAGAUCCUAUGCUCUUGUGACACCUGUUUUCCCUAGAAAUAAUUCCUACCAUUGGUGAAGCUCCUCAAGUUCCCAUGGCCUAGGGCAGGACCUGUACCAUGUGCCAAAUUCUGUGCUGCUGCUUCUGCGAAGGACACAAGAACAGCACAUGCUUGGGGAUUGCCCUUCCUGGAGGAGAUGGCACAGGAGCAGCUGGAUAGGACAGUGAAGGGCCUGCAGUGUGGCUGGAGCUCUGUGUGUGUUCCCCAGGGUGGAUGGGGAACCCCAGGAACUGGAAACAGGCCAGGAGAAGAGAUGACACUCAGAGAUAUGACUUAAGUAUAAGGCUGUGACAAAAUGAGAAACUGGAGCCAGGGAUUUAUCUCAGUGGUUCCACUGCCUGCCUCGCAAGCACAAGGUCCCGAGUUAGAUCCCUGGUACCAAAAAACCAAAAACAAACCAAAAAAAUGAACCGAAUAGAACCUCUUAGAAGGAGUAAAAAUAGCCGAAAGAGUUCAACGUAUCUGGCCAUUAGAGGGAAUACAAAUUAAAAUAAUAUUGAUAUUCCAUCUUGCCCCAAGAAAGAAUGGCCAUCAUCAAUAAAUCAAUAACAAAUGCUGAUGGGGGGUGGUGGUAAAGGAAUUCUUCCUACACUGUUGGUGAGAAUGUAAACUGGUACAACCACUAAUGGAAGUCAGCAUGGAGAUUCCUCAAAAAACUGAAACUUGAAAUUCCAUUCCACUCAGUUAUUUCCCUUCUAAGCAUCUUCCAGAGAGAGUCAUCAUACUACAGUGAUAUAUACACACCCAUGAUUACAGCACCAUAGCUCACAGUAGCUAAAUCUUGAAGCAGCCUAUAUGUUCAUCAACAGAUGAAUGGUCCUGCAGGUAGCUGCGAGCAGCUGAAGGUUUUGGAAUGUGAUGUCAGGAUUUGAUUUCUAUCUUGGAGCAGUUUUGGAAAUGGACCACAAAUCAACGAAAUAACUGACCCACCAGCUUGGGAGUAGAGACAGGAGUUAUGGUGCCCUUUAAGCCCAGCCCCUCGGCGGCCACAGCCUGAGAACCUAUAGGGUUUGAAAAGUCCUUAUACAAGUUCACAGUUCCUCUGAGCUAAAAAAUAAAUUCAGAAUAAAACAGAUCACAGUUGUCUGACAUUUCUAAAAUUCUCCUUAUCUGGUGUCACGGGGUCUGCCCGGAUGGAGAAGGGGCAGAGAGGCUGUCUGCACCCUGGAGUGGAGGGAAUGGGAAGGCAGCAGCGGGUGGCAGAGGAUCUGGUCACAGUUGCCCAGUUUCCUCUUUGCUGUCUCUGAGAACCAUUGUUUUGUGGCCUGGGUCUAAAACAGAGACAGAUCUGCGAUUGUGCCAAGAAAAACUCCCUGGGCCAGCUCUGAGACUACUGCACACACGGGCGUGGACCAGUGCAAGUGUGUUUCAAAAGCAAACAGUGGUGUGCAGUCCCUCACACGCGGGCAAAGCGAUUGACCAUGACUUGUGGGGUCACGGGCUCCUCCAAUGCCCUUCAACCCGAACUCACAAUUGGUCGUCCUAGGAAACAGAAGCCAGGGGGCUCCCAGUUACCCCUCACUCAAUUCUGCUGGGAAGACUGACAAUCGAGGAGAUUAGAGCCGCUCUGCAAGCCCAGAAGGGGUGGAGCCGAUGCUGGGGCCAGGGGUCGUGUUUUGGGGUCAGAGGCCUGGGAGCUUCUGCCAUCGACCCCUGCCUGAAGGUUCAAGUUUGAUCUGUCAUUUGCAAAUGCCUGUGUCAGAUAAUUCAUCUCCUGUGGCCACAGCACAGUGUGACUUGGCUGGAGGAACGAAGCAUCGUGGAGAAAAGCAGCACCCAGGACAUCACAGAAAACUUUAAAAGAUUCCAAGACGGGCCCUGCCCUAGGCAGAGACAGCAGAGGUCAAAAAUUCACUCCAGGCCUGCUGGGGACUAGGAGCCUGGGGAUAGAACGUGGCUCUUCCCCAAGAUAGGGUCCCCAUCUGGGGCACUCAGACACCCUGGACCAGCCCGGUCCACCCCAUAGCUUCCCACCCAACCCAGCAUCGACCUGGUCACCCUGCCUCAGAUGAGAGAAUGGAGUUGACAGCCAGGGGGUGGGGCAUGUGGACUGUGGAUGCAGAACCGAGGAACAGAGAUGGAAACAUGUCAGCUGCCCAGGGGCUGUGGCGGAGGUAUCCACAGAAGGCCACCAGGGAGAGCAGCCAAGUGCCACUUGGCUCUUUGCAGAGAGCACUGCAGCGGCCACAUGUGCUGAAACUUGGGAGGGAGGCGAGCUCUGUGAGCACCACAGCAUCACCCACUGGACACCUGGUCCCUGCCCUCCUGAUCCCCUCUGCCUGGGCCCUCUCCUCACACACAGCCAUGUGAGCUCCCAGACAGAUAUAAUAUUGCACGUGCAAUGUUAUGUGACACACAGGCCAUCACAACCCGACCAACCAGCCCAUCGUGAGUGACACGCGUAGUCCGAUAAUGCCCUUGUGCACAGCACAAUCAAGACCCUUGAACCUGGCUCUGUGACGUGAGUGUUCCCACCCGGUAUGCUGAGGUCCCUUAUGGCAGGGUCCCUUGAGAGCUCUGCCCUCACCUCCAUUUCCAAACAGGUUCCUGGUGGGAGGGGUGUCCCAGUGGGCAUGUGCAGCACCAUGUGUAGUUCUUGAACCCAGGCCACCCACACAGCCCAAUGGGCAGAUCCCAGAAGACAUCCCCAUAUAGCAAGGAUGGGUUCACAUUGAGGAUGACGGCAGGACCAGUCUCGGGUCUCCCCCUAGGUGCCGUGGGCCCACCUGUCUCCCCUCUUGACUGCUCACCUCCCCACCACCACCUGCUGGUCACAGUAGCAGAGGCAGACCCCCUCAGUGUCACCACAGCCCACACUCAGGUAGGUGCCGGCAGCUGCAGCCCUGCUCUGUGAACUGCUGAUUCCUAACGCUCCUGCCCUUUGAUAUCCCUGGAGGUUUACAGAUAAAAAGUCCCCAGAGUGUUGGAAGGCUCAAAGAUCUGUGGCAUUCAAGCCAACCACUCAGACCACAAAUCUGAAUUUGUGGAUCACCCAAGCAUCACCACCACCCUGGAGUCUCUCCCUGUCCUCCCAUGACUGCCACACCUCCCAGUAGUCUGGAUGCUGCAUCUGUUUGCAUCCAAGACGACCCUCAGGGUGUCGCCUGUCUUUUUCACUCCUCAGCAAACAUUGAUAGAGCCUGGCACAUUAUGCCUGUUCAAUGUAUUCUGGGCCCCAAGACUCGGGUUAAUAAAACUGCCAGUCCCUGGCCUCCUAGGUCUUAUAUUCGGGUGGGGAGAAAGACAUAAACAAACAGCUAAUGGAGUGUGAUGAGCACUAAAGAUAAAAAUAAAACCAACAGGAUGGAGAAGUGACAGGGUGGGCAGCAGCAUGGGGACUUUGAAGGGCUGUCAGAAAAGCCCCUGUGUAGGGGAAGCAGCAGGGGGUGCCUCUCAGGGACAGUGGGCCAGGAGGCCUCGAACCUUUGCAGAAAACAGACUCCAUUCCCUCAGCAAUGAAAUUGAAUAAAUAGCAAUAAGAUCUCCAAUCCCUUAUGUUAUCACACUUGGCCAUAUCAUGUGCCUGUCCAUCCAUUUCUGCAUUCACUCCUCAUAACUCCCUGGCUAUCAUUCACACAAGAUGCUGAAGCAGAGGUCCAAAGAUGGGAAGGGGCCUUCCCAAGGCCGUACAGAGAAAAGCCAGUGGCAGGACUAGAUUAUUGGGACGUCUCUUUCCCAGCUAUGUGCUCCCUAGGAAAAUGGGUCAUGCUGGAUGACUCUACUAUAUUCUGCUGAACAUUCCUACCCCAGGUGCCUGAUUAGAACUGAGAAAAGCCCAUUGUGAGCAGCCCCGAUUCCCUCCAGUCUGACUCCAAUAUAGCUACAUGGUUACUGGUGGGGGGAUUAGUGGAGGACAUAGCUACCCCACUCUUAGAUCGUAGGAGCUGAAGCCAGCAAAAAAGAGCUAGAGAGCAGUGUGUGAACUCUGUGUACCAUAUUUGGCUGUCACUGCUGCAUACAUAUCUACUCACCCUUGCCCACCUUUGUGUGUUUGAGUGAAUUUCUUCUGGACUAUUGACAUAUAGAUCCCAAAUUUGCUCAUAUCGACAGACUCUAAGGUAGGAAAUCUCCAGUUUCAUAUGAGUUUAGUCAAAUCUAUUUUCCUUUAUGACCUCAGUUUCUCUUGUGAAAUGAACAUUUUGAAUUAGAUGGCCUGUGAGUUUCUGGCAUCCUACAAUUCUACAUGUGUAAACAUGUACGAUUGGUUGGGGACCCAAAGUAAGCCCUACUGUGAGGUGCUGUAUCAUACCUGGCUGGAGACUUCUGAGUCAUUGUCUCAACAAAGAUGUUUUUCCCAAAACAGAGCUUCCCGUGGUACAGAGUCCACUUGUUUCUUCAAAAUCCGCAGCAGUUGCUCAUUGCAAAACCAAGGCAGGGCAAAGCCUUCAGGAUGCGAAUGGGAACAAAAAGGAUGCAGGAAGGAACAAGAAAGCAAGAGGAGGAGAAAGAGAAAGGCAAAGUGAAGAAAAAAGUGGUGGGUGGAAGGGAUGCAGUGACAGGCUCAGGGACAGGAAAUGUCUUAGUAAAAGAUUUCCAGAGUUUUGUAAUCUGUUUCUUGUAUAAGGCAUACGGGCUUCAUUAAUAAGAAGGUGGGUGGGUGCCUUAGUUAUUUUUUCUCAUUGCUGGGACAAAAAUGCCCAACACUCACAAGUUAAGGGGAGAAAGGUUCAUUUAGCUAAGUUUGUAGAGGUUUCAGUCUAUCAGAUGGCUCCAAGGCAGGGUGGCACAGCAGACAGGCAUCGCAGAAGAGAAACAGUUCAUGGUGGGCAGAAGGUAGCAAAGCAAGCAGGUGGCGACCACAGCUCUUUCCUUCCAUUAUGUCUUAUCCAGGCUACUUAGGGUGAGUAGCACUCACACCAUGAAUCAAUCCUAGCAUCACAUUCUAGAUCCAGCCACCUGUGAAAAGCCCCAUGUAUGACUGCACGAGCCUUUAGGGGAACAUCUAGACACAAACCAUAACUCUGUGUGUGUGUUGCUGCAAGUAUUAAUCACAUUGGUGACAAGCAGAUGAAAUCGGCUGGGUGUGCCACAUGCAUAAUCUUUCCUCAAACUGGAACCCGUAUAUUCAUCCUUCAUGGGCUGAUAUCCAGGAACACUUGCCUCUCAUGCUUACCACUUAUUCUGGAUGAACCCCCAAAUUCUCUUACCCAACCCUAUCACUGAUUACUCCCUCUCUUAGAGGAGGAAGUGUUUUCUUCUCCCAGCCAAUUUCAGCCAAAGAAAAAUCUUAGUUCAGGUUCUUUGUGUUGCUCCACUUUCUUCUUUCUAGUUCUUUCCCCCAUCACACACAUAAGUCCUUCUAGUUUUCACCUUCACCCUUUCCUAGAGUAUCCUAGUCAUUCAGAAAUAACCUUUAAAAGGCGGGGUACUUGUGUCCCAAAGAGACCCAAAGACUUGCUGGAGGAAUAAUGUAAGGGAAAUCCUCUUCUAGAUCCUCAACAUCCACAAACACUAGUAUGCUCAGGCCUGUCAGACAAAGUGGUGUCUAUGUGCAAGUAAGGCAGGGGAACACUGAGGGAGCAUUACUGCCAGAGAUAAAGUAAUGGAAGACUGUGCUGUAAUCGGAAUCAGAGGCCGCUGUGCCCUCAGAGAUGUUGGGAGACAUGGUCACAGAGCUCAAAAGACUGGAAGCCAGCAGAAGAUAAACCUGUGGCCAGCCGACCUUAGGUCCCACCUCCCCAUGUCUGUGCCAUUGCAUAGUCCUCUCCCUUUGGGAAUGUGAGCACCUAUGGCCAGCCCUAACCAAAGGAACAUGGCAAAAGUCACUUCACAAGCCACUCUGGUACACAAGGCUUUGGAAGGACCAGUCCUUGGGUCUCCCUUUCUCUCACCUCCACUGUCAGGGAAAUUGCAGGGAGUUUCUAGGAGCCCAGGCUAGUCUCAGACUUGCAAUGCUUGGAAAGAGAUUCUGCUAGCAAUCCCUGUGAAUCCAGGGGCUCCUUCCCAUUGAUCCCCUGAGGAGAUCACAGGCCUGACUGGUGUUCUGCCCACAGCUAGCAGAGAACCAAGCUCUUCUGUGCCCCAACUUCUGACUCACAGAAACUGAGAGUGUAGAUGGGAGUCGUUUAAGUCACUAAGUUCAUGGCAUCUGUUACACAGCAGUACAAAACUUAAGCAGCUGGAGAUGGUGGGGAGGCUGGGCUGAGGAGCACAGGUUUUAUCACAUAGGCCACCAGGAACCAGGCUUGCUCUCAGCAAGGAAAAGCCACAGAAGUAAGUUUGGGGACAGUCACUCUGACCGCAGGGCAGGAGGAAACUCGAGAACAAGGUGGAAGCCUUUUAUCUUCCAGGAAGUCAGGGAUACACCAGUGAGCACGAGGCCUCAGACCCAGCAAAGCCAUUCAACCUGUAUUUACUGACUAUUUACAGGGUGUGGUGUUCAGGGGAGAGGAAUACGGGGAGAAUGACCCAGCAUGUUCCCUGCCUUCUGAAAUGUUAGGGUAGGUUCAGAAAUGUGUAUUUAAGCAGGCAAAACUUGGUUGGUUGGCUCUGUUUCUUUUCCAUUUGACAGUGUAGGACACUGCCCAGAAGGGAUGGAUCGAAGCCUCUUCCUGGGGGGCAGAGGGCUCCUGCGUGGGGUAACGCUGAGGUCCAUCCUGAAGGAUGAGCCAGGACUGCACAGGCAGGGGUAGGAUUUCAUGGCCCUCCAAUGAUUGCUUGGUGUGAGAGAAAACUCGAGUUGGUUAGAAAGCGAGCCUAGAGCUGGGAAUCUUGGAAAAAGAGCUCUUUUUCCCUUCUCAUCUGCCUGGAGUGCUGAGUACUUCCGUGAUCUGUUAAAGAAGGAUCCACAGGAGAGCUGAGGUGCACUGGUUAUGAAGGAGAGAAGGACUUAACUGAGUUACCAGGAUGACUUAGAUAAGGACGAAGCUGCAGAGAGAACCUUUGUUUGGGGAGCACCCAAGAGCCAAGAAUGUGGCAGAGAGUUAGGGAGGGGGGUGUAGAGAAGACCAUCUGCUGUUAGAGAGUAUCGAGAAAUUGGAAAGUUAUUUUGGGACCAAAUGUGUACCUCAAAAGACAUGAUCAAUUCCAUUCUAACCCUGAUGUUUUUGGCCCACCCAGGAUCCCAGUACUGCCUAUUUAUCUCCUUUGAAUCGCUUCCUGUUAUUUGGGAUAAAAUCCACGCCCCCCCCCCAUCAUCAUACACAAGGCACCACCCCUUCCAGCCUCUGCUCCCCUCUUUGUCCCCCCUGUUCUCCCCCUCUCCCCCCGCCCUUCCCCCAAUUUACACCCCCAGGCUCCCAGUGUUCUGGCCUCUUUCUCAGUUCACUCAGUUUCUUCUGUCCCUGGGUCUUUUCCAUACAUUAGGCUUGGGGGGGGACACAGGCAGGUGAGGGCACAUUCCAGGCAGAACUCCUUGACCUCACCCCAGUUUGAGCUCCCCUCCUUCGCCUGCUCCCAACCUGAAUCCUGUCCUUUCUCUUUCAAAUAAAGCAUUGAUCCUACUGUACCUCUUGGAUGUCCUGCUGAAUUCUUUGUUUGGGACAAGACCCCAGGCCAGCAAUUCACCCUCUGUUGAAGUAGAACCCAGGGUAGAUGGCAGGGUAACGAUGUAACACUGGUGCCUCUGCCACUGACACAAGUGGACACCGCUAACUGAGAGCAAGGAAAAUACUCCAGCCAGCCCUCAGGACAAGGCGGGCAUCGUCACAGCGGGGCUGAACUGCACCCACUUCCAGCAACUCAUGACUCUCAAAAACGCAGCAUUGGAAGCAGGAAGAACUGGCUUGGCGUCCCUCUCUCCAGAGCCACUUUUUCUGCGGCACUGCUCCAGCACUCCUGGUAAGGAUGGGUGGAAACUGCAGAAAGCAAGAUCCAGCCAGCUGUUGGCCCUCCCUGCACCGCCCAGAGCAUCCCUCUCCUGUCCCAUGGGCCUAUCUGAUGGAAAGUUGGCCCAUCUUUGCCACAGUAAGUAAAAACCAGCACCCGGACAGCUGCAGGAGGAAGCACCUGCCUGGAGACCCCACCUGGGCUGCCAAGGCCCCGGACCCCACGUGAGUGUCUUCCCAGUUCUCAGUCCCUUCUCCCUUCUGCAGGGUAACUACUCUCCUAAAUUUGAUGGGCUUUUUGAGCUUUAUCUUUUCCUACUAUCUGGAUAGAGACAGAUGAUAGAUAGACAUAUACAUAGAUAUAUGUAGUGAUAUGUUAUUAAGUUGUAUAUGAGUCUUGAACCUUGUAUAAGUGGGAUUUUACUAUACACAUUCUGCAUGUUGGGAGAUUCAUCUGUGUUGAUAGGUGGGGAAGAAAGCAUCCUUUUCAGUACCAUAUAGUAUUCUAAUAUUCAGCAGCUACAGAAUCAGUAGGCAUCACAAUCCUGGAAGGGGCAGGAACCCCAGAAUCAUCCUCUCCUCUGCUCCCUCUCAGGAGAAAUGAAGACCCAGGAGGCUGUGCCAUAGGCUGUGCUGGAGCCCUGGCCCUGUGCAUUACGGAACUGUAGCCAGCCAGCUUGUGGGACAGGGUGACACCUUUCUAUCCCUGGACAUCAGAUGCCAAGAGCAGGUGCUCAUCACGGUCUAAGAAAAAGAGUUAAAAGUUGUCCAAGAAUCACCUGAUUGGGGAAUUCACUGAGGGUUACUCUAAUGUCCAGCCAAAGCCAGCAGUGACUGACACUUCAUAGUUUCCAGUGGGCUCAGUCCAUGGCCUGCUGGCUCCAAGGCAGAGACAACAUGGUGGAAGGGCUUGGUGGAGGAAAAUUGCUCAUGGUGGCCAGGAAACAGACAGGAGGAGCCUGAGAUGUGAACAUACCCUUCCACCUCACAACCCAAUGACUCACCCCUUCCUACCAGACCCCACCUCCAAAAGUGAGGCUUUUGGGGACAUCUUAGAUGUAAACUAUAACAACCUGGGACCUCAUGGCUGGAGAGUGUCCCCGUUCUUAGGGAACCAAGACAUGUCACCCAAGGUUGGGGCAGUCUGGAGACUCGGGACUCUUUCCCCACGUUCAGAUCCACCCCUUCAUCCCAUCCACAGUGUCCCUGUCAACCACCAAGACCAAUGGUGGGUUCUGAGAAGAAGGUGAUGGAGGUGUGACCUGAUUUCUCAGUGGCUGUUGGGGUUGAGAGACAGGGAGAGCCAUGAGGAGACCGCUAGGGCGACUCGUGGGAUGGAACAGUGGGGAUUGUGAGAAGUCUUACUUGGGUGCUCAUUUAAGGCAGGGCCAACAGGCUGUCCUGGCAGACUGGACCUGGAGGGUGAGAGGAAGGAGAAAGCCAGUGCAGUUCCAAUGGAUUUGUCGCACCUUGGAGAAGGCAGCUGCUGUUGGAAGAGAACCCCCCCCCGCCUUGAAGUGGGAGGGACUGAACCAAGAAUGUGUCCACCAGCAAGGCCAUCUUCUGCCUCUGCUCUAUCCUCCCAGGCUUCGGGUCUCUCUGUUCAAUAAGGGAAAUAAGACCCAACUGAUUGCUUACGGAAACACCAGACCUUAUUACAAAUGAACACUUUCCCCAGAGCUCUCAUGUCCGGAAGUCAGACACGUUUACUCUGGGGCAGCUGCCAACAUAUCUUUGGAAUCCUUUUCUAGGGAUUGAGUUGAUUUAUGGCCCAUCCAAGAAAAAUCAGUCUUAUCGUUUCUCUCCAGAAGGUCAGUUGAAACAUUUACUGUGUAAAUCAGACCUGACUCUUCCAAACAUUGAAACUUUUUUCCCCAGGAUGACCAUCUGCCACCAUGCAGAAUAAGCAAAUCUCCAGCUGUGGCCAUCUCAUUGGAAAACCAACUAUGAUUCCAGGCAGGAUGAAUUUUCCUCUGUACUCCAGCACCCACGGGUGGCAGGUGAGGACCCUUGCUCUCCUGAGCUCCAGCUCCCCUGCCCUUGACACUGGGCGUAGAGGCAGAGUGAGGGCUUCGUGACAGCCCAGCACUCACCUGGCUAGAAAAGACCGUAUGAUCUGGCUUUAAAACAGUGUCACUUUGUCAUUUAUGAUCCACAAGGCUUUCUCUUAGCAUCUCUUUCAUCAUUCUAGAGGUGAGAAAACCCUCUGAACCCAGUUUGCUCAUUCGUGAAAGGUGGCCAAUGACGAUUGUAUCCUUCUCCCAGGACAGUUUGGAAGAGGAACACACUACUGCCAACAAAGAACCUCACACACUGUGCAGGCAGCUCUUGAGCGACCUGGACACAUUGCUGUCCUCCACCCUCACGUGGGAUCAUGGUCACUAGACCACGGCGCACCUUUUGCUUUUCCUGGAGGAACACACUUUCUGGCUCCAGCUGAUACUGUGCUGUCUUCCUCACCCUCGUCUGGUUUUCCCCAGAUCCCCUCUGAGCACCUCUGUAGCUUGGAUGGUUGUGGGGUUGGGUGGCCACCUUGCCAUGUCUCCCCUCCUCUGAGGGCAGGCAGGUGGCCCUCCUGCCCAAGCCAGCACCCCAAAUUAUCAGCCACCUCUGUUUCCUCCACAUCUGCCAAGCAGUUGUCAGCUGCUGCCUGGAUUUUUCUCCACGGAACAGCACAGACUUUGCAGCACAAGGUGGGACCCUGGGCUGGCCCUACACGAGGGGCCAUGAGACCUGUCCGUCAAGCCUCAGAGUCCUCCCUCUCCAUCGAGUUUUCCAUUGACCUGAGAAAUGGCCAUCGGCUGCUGCCGGGGGACUUUUCUUCCUUCAAGAGAAUUUUAGAGACAUUUUAACACGGGGGCUUCUGAAAUCCAUGAUUCAUGCUUAAAAUCUGAUUCACUAGUAGAUCAGUUGUGUGAAAUGAGUUUGGGCCAAAAUGUCUUCUAGAAGGACACACGCAUGCAUGCAUACACACAUAGAUUAAAGAAUCGCCUUCCAUUCGCUCCUUGGAAUACAAGUUAGGGUGGACCCUCAAGACAGCUUGAGGAUCUCCUCCAUCCCCUUCUUUCCUUCCUUCCCCUCCUCCCCUAACCCUUAAAGAAGAUCCACAUACCCCAGUUGAUCUGCUCAUUGUCCAAAUUAGAUGAGAAAAUGGAUUUAAAAGUUCCUUGCUCUGUGCCGGUCCCUAAUAGUCACUUUAUUAAUGAUUGGUUAAUUGUUUUCCAUCCCUCACAUCUGCACACCAAAACACCGAAGGUGGAAUCUCUGGGCCGUGAAUGUCCUUGUUGUACAUAUCCUUCAUCCCAUCUCGGCCCAGCUGCAACAGCCCAGCCGUGCCUGUCUUUGUUUCUGAGUCUCUGGACUUUGUAGAAACUUCCAACCCCUCGACUUGACAAAUGACUUUCUAAGUGGAGGGGGUUUUACAUUUAAUAUGCAUCAUGAGAAACAUCAGAGCUAUGCUCAGGAGAUCAAAUGGUUUCUUCAGCUAAGAAUGUAAGCAUUAUCCCUAUUAAUAUCUUUCCAACAAAGGCCCAGGCUCCCCACCCCCGACAACUCUAUGAUCUCAGUUUAUUAACAUUGCCAGUCUCCCCCACUUGCUGCCCCUGCUGCAGACUGGGUCACAGUCUAAGGUCCACCCUCCACACACACACUGCCUUGGCAGGGCUGCACAGGGGAAAAAACUCUCUGUCAUCAUAAAUCAUAAAAUCAAACAACCAAACGCCAUCUCCGGGGAAAUAAAUUCUGAAGAGCUAAGGAGGGAAAAGGGGGGGCUAUGAUUAUUUUAAUCCUAUUCCAGAUGCUCUGGUCUGCUCCCUAAACAAAACCUGAAUUAAUUGCAAGCCUUAGUCAAAGAGAUAAUAGCUGCAUGCGGGUGUAGGCAAUGUUGGGCAAGGAAUAGUUGCUCAGUUAAUGUUUAUGUAAAAAUAAAUGAGUGUAAAUGCACAAGAGUUCUGUGGACGCCGCCUUUGCCAGACAAGAUGGCUCAUUGUGACAGAGUUCCCCACAGCGUCCCUACCCAGUGACCUGGGUGCUCUGCUUUUCAAAAGCACCUUCAUACUUACUAGCUAGUUUGACUCGAGCAGCAAUCGAAGCUUGCACUUGGCCUUGGGAGAAUGCACUUCUGUAAAAGCCUCAAAGAGUGGACUGAGGUGACACUUGCACGCAGAAGCGUGCACACACACACACAUGCACGCGUGGAGGAAAAGCUGUUCUCAUAAGAAUUUUGAACCAUUGAAAGAUGUCAAAACCUCUGUGAGUACACAAAGGCAUACUGAUUCUUUACCAAAACCGGAAUGAAUUAAAAUCACUUACACUCUUCUUUACCACCCCUCAAAAGUGUCGUCGAGGAUGGACACUUUGGCUCCAAAGGGCAAAAGGGCCACAGAAGCGCCCUGGUGUUCAGCCACCCAAUCCUGAAACCAAUGACAAAAUGAAGGGCUCCCUGGGCCUCCUCUUAUGCAUUACAAGAUGGGAAGGAGAUGCCUGGCGCUACCCUACAUGCCAGGAUUCUUGGGUGAAUAAAAGCAGACAAGGUAAAAAAGAUCUCAGAAGAGCAGAAAUGGAAGAACAGUAGGGGAAGGACAGACAGCAUGGGGUGAGCCAGGGUGCUUGGUGCCAAAAUGGCACCAGGUGACAGGAGUAACAACACCCAGGUCGUCUUGGUUCUGGUUUGUGGUCCCAGACGGCUUGCUGCAGGAUCGGGCAUUCUGUGGGGCCAGAGCCUAGGCUAUCUGGAAGACCCCAGAGCUGGGAGGCCACCAGCUGAGUGACCUGGAGCUGACCCGUGUCUCCCAGCUCCUCCACUCCCUUCCGGGUCCAGGGCUCACACCUUUGCCUCCUGGAGGCCACGUAAGAAGCAGGCAGGUGCUGGGGCCUGGCACACAGAGAGGCUGCCCAGAUGUGGCCUUCACUCCCAAGACCCUCUGGGGGCAGGGGCUUCCUCACUGUUUCCAGUCUGCUCUUUUCUCAAAUUCUGCUUCAUCGCUCCGGGUUUCCUCCCACAGCCCUCUCUCUCUGUGGCCCAGCCCGGCCCGCCAGGAGCCUUGGAAAGUCGCGUUGUGCAGAGAAGCAGAUGGCUCUGCCUCCUCCUCCAUCCCCUGCUAAGUGGAUCUGGUGCCCUGAGGACUGCAGCCCUGGGGGAUGGCAGGGAGGGCACCUGGCCCACACACCUGCUCUGGAUCCUGAGGUCCACCAGCUGCUUCCCACUCAAAAGCAAGAAGCCAGUCCUGGGGCCUGGCCUCUACUGCAGCACUGCAUGCCACAUGUGCAUCCCUUGCUACCUUACUUAUUCAGUGGCAUCUGACAAGAAACUGCUACACCAAUCACCAAGCGCUAUGCCUACAUCAGAGGGGUCUCUGGAACUCUGCUGUCCAACAGGUCACUUCUAGACACAUGCAACUACACAAAUGUACAUGAGUCCGAUUAAAUUUAAGAUUCAGUUUCUGGCCAGGUGUGAUGGUGCAUGCCUAUAAUCUCAGCGCUCUGGGAGGCUGAGCCAGGAGGAUUGUAAAAGCCCAGCCAACUUAAUGAUUUAGCAAGACCCUGUCUCAAAAUUUGAGACAAAAAAUUUUACAGAUACAGGGCUGUAGCUCAAUGCAAAGGCCCUGGAUUCAAUGCCUAGUACUAGAGAAAAAAAGCUGUCAGUGAUAGUAGCCAUGUCUCAGGUGCUAAGGAGUCACCUGUGGCUGCUACAAAUAAGGGCCACGUCUGUCACCAGAGGAAGUCCUGCUGCACAGACUGCCUGUUAGGUGACCCUAGCAGGAAAGGUUGA
rnacentral:lncRNA from 1 species